rnacentral:rRNA from 1 species
AGCUUGCUAAUUUCAUUCUUAGUGGCGGACGGGUUAGUAACACGUGAGAUACAUACCCUUUAGACAGGAAUAGCCCAUGGAAACGUGGAUUAAUGCCUGAUAGACUCUACGGAGUAAAGGAUGCCUUCGGGUAUCGCUAAAGGAUUGGCUCGCGGCCUAUCAGCUUGUUGGUGAGGUAAAGGCUCACCAAGGCGACGACGGGUAGCUGGUCUGAGAGGACGAUCAGCAACACUGGAACUGAGACACGGCCCAGACUCCUACGGGAGGCAGCAGUAGGGAAUCUUGCACAAUGGGCGAAAGCCUGAUGCAGCGACGCCGCGUGGGGGAUGAAGGCCUUCGGGUUGUAAACCCCUUUCAGUAGGGACGAAAAUGACGGUACCUACAGAAGAAGCUCCGGCCAACUACGUGCCAGCAGCCGCGGUAACACGUAGGGAGCAAGCGUUGUCCGGAUUUAUUGGGCGUAAAGAGCUCGUAGGUGGUUCGGUAAGUCGGAUGUGAAAACUCAAGGCUCAACCUUGAGACGCCAUCCGAUACUGCUGUGACUUGAGUUCGGUAGAGGAGUGUG